rnacentral:lncRNA from 1 species
UAAGGGCCUCGGGUUGUAGUUUCGUCCCGGGCCCCUAAAAUCACAGGACCGGUCCUGGUUUUACUGUUCACAUCUGCUGCAUUUGAGCUCAGUACUAGAAGCAUGCUUUCGGAAGCAACACAUCUGUUUAGCAUGAAGCCAAACACAAACUAAGUGAAAGACGUUUUGAGAACUCGGCAACAACCGGUGGCAGCAUAAAUAUACACUCGGGGCGCACCUAAAUUCUCGAUCAUCUUGGUAGAGAUCGAAAGUGGAUGCGUAGUUGACAGAUCAUACACAUACAUGCAUUAUUUGGUUUGUAACUUUUGCUACAAAUUCUAUAUUGGAGAUAAACUAACAACGGAGAUGCUGAGUAGCUGGGCGGCACAGGGACGGGGAUAUGUGCCGCAGCGGCAGGGCUGACCACAAUUGGUGGAGAGCCCCAAUGCUCCUCGAGCGCAGUGCGGAUGAUUGUGACAUCCAAUGCGACACCCACACACUGCGUUUCAGUUCAUAUCAUUUGUUCCCUGUUUAGCGACGAUACUUAUUUUCAAAAAAAGAUAUCUCAAGAAUCUGCGCCUCCAUUGGGAUAUCCCAAGAAUCUGAAACAUAUGGAAAGAAAGAAACAGACGGAUUUUCGAGAACACGAGGGCCUCUCAUGUGGAGGUGGCCAGGAUGAUCCUAGAUUAUCAUAAUUAAUGUAUCAAAAUUUUGCUCACCGCGAGUAAUUCUCAUAGGCCUUUGUUGUUCCUGUCUGCAAAUGGAUUUCCAGUCAUUGUACU